rnacentral:rRNA from 1 species
CCUACGGGAGGCAGCAGUAGGGAAUAUUGGGCAAUGGAGGCAACUCUGACCCAGCCAUGCCGCGUGCAGGAUGAAGGCGUUAUGCGUUGUAAACUGCUUUUAUAUAGGAAGAAAUAGACCUUGCGAGGUAAGUUGACGGUACUAUAUGAAUAAGCACCGGCUAACUCCGUGCCAGCAGCCGCGGCAAUACGGAGGGUGCAAGCGUUGUCCGGAUUUAUUGGGUUUAAAGGGUGCGUAGGCGGUUUAUUAAGUCAGUGGUGAAAGACGGUCGCUCAACGAUUGCAGUGCCAUUGAUACUGGUAGACUUGAGUGUGAUUGAGGUAGCUGGAAUGGAUAGUGUAGCGGUGAAAUGCAUAGAUAUUAUCCAGAACACCAAUUGCGUAGGCAAGUUACUAAGUCACAACUGACGCUGAGGCACGAAAGUGUGGGUAUCAAACAGGAUUAGAUACCCUGGUAGUCCACACUGUAAACGAUGAUAACUAACUGUUGGCUUUUGGGUCAGUGGUACAGAGAAAUCGUUAAGUUAUCCACCUGGGGAGUACGCCGGCAACGGUGAAACUCAAANAGAGUAGAGCGNGAGAGNGCGACGGACGACGACGAGGGAGGAGG